CCUACGGGAGGCAGCAGUGGGGAAUAUUGCACAAUGGGGGAAACCCUGAUGCAGCGACGCCGCGUGAGUGAAGAAGUAUCUCGGUACGUAAAGCUCUAUCAGCAGGGAAGAAAAUGACGGUACCUGACUAAGAAGCCCCGGCUAACUACGUGCCAGCAGCCGCGGUAAUACGUAGGGGGCAAGCGUUAUCCGGAUUCACUGGGUGUAAAGGGAGCGUAGACGGCCAUGCAAGCCAGGGGUGAAAGCCCGGGGCGCAACCCCGGGACUGCCCUUGGAACUGUGCGGCUAGAGUGCGGGAGGGGCAGGCGGAAUUCCUGGUGUAGCGGUGAAAGGCGUAGAUAUCAGGAGGAACACCGGCGGCGAAGGCGGCCUGCUGGACCGCGACUGACGUUGAGGCUCGAAAGCGUGGGGAGCGAACAGGAUUAGAUACCCCGGUAGUC
rnacentral:rRNA from 1 species